rnacentral:rRNA from 1 species
UACGGAGGAUUAAAGCGUUAUCCGGAUUUAUUGGGUGUAAAGGGUGCGUAGACGGGAAGACAAGUUAGUUGUGAAAUCCCUCGGCUUAACUGAGGAACUGCAACUAAAACUAUCUUUCUUGAGUGCUGGAGAGGAAAGUGGAAUUCCUAGUGUAGCGGUGAAAUGCGUAGAUAUUAGGAGGAACACCAGUGGCGAAGGCGGCCUGCUGGACAGAAACUGACGUUGAGGCUCGAAAGCGUGGGGAGCAAACAGG